rnacentral:hammerhead_ribozyme from 1 species
ACCUAGUUGACGUGUCCAAAAUAGAACGAAACGCAUGUCCUAGAU